CCAGUCACUGUUGGAGCAGGUCAGACCCUGAUGAUCCAGUCACUGUUGGAGCAGGUCAGACCCUGAUGAUCCAGUCACUGUUGGAGCAGGUCAGACCCUGAUGAUCCAGUCACUGUUGGAGCAGGUCAGACCCUGAUGAUCCAGUCACUGUUGGAGCAGGUCAGACCCUGAUGAUCCAGUCACUGUUGGAGCAGGUCAGACCCUGAUGAUCCAGUCACUGUUGGAGCAGGUCAGACCCUGAUGAUCCAGUCACUGUUGGAGCAGGUCAGACCCUGAUGAUCCAGUCACUGUUGGAGCAGGUCAGACCCUGAUGAUCCAGUCACUGUUGGAGCAGGUCAGACCCUGAUGAUCCAGUCACUGUUGGAGCAGGUCAGACCCUGAUGAUCCAGUCACUGUUGGAGCAGGUCAGACCCUGAUGAUCCAGUCACUGUUGGAGCAGGUCAGACCCUGAUGAUCCAGUCACUGUUGGAGCAGGUCAGACCCUGAUGAUCCAGUCACUGUUGGAGCAGGUCAGACCCUGAUGAUCCAGUCACUGUUGGAGCAGGUCAGACCCUGAUGAUCCAGUCACUGUUGGAGCAGGUCAGACCCUGAUGAUCCAGUCACUGUUGGAGCAGGUCAGACCCUGAUGAUCCAGUCACUGUUGGAGCAGGUCAGACCCUGAUGAUCCAGUCACUGUUGGAGCAGGUCAGACCCUGCUGAUCCAUUCACUGUUGGAGCAGGUCAGACCCUGAUGAUCCAGUCACUGUUGGAGCAGUUCAGACCCUGA